rnacentral:lncRNA from 1 species
UCUCAUUGGACAGAUCGUUAUAACUCAAUAGUACAGCAGGUAAAAUAUCUUUUUCAAAAUCUUCCACCUGCCAAAUUUCACUAUCUAAGAUAUUUUGCCACUCUUCUCUAGUUUUUUUAACCACAACAAACCCCAGAUAGUUUUAGCCGCAAGUGGCAACAUUCUGGUUUAGACAAUUAUUUCUACCAAUUUCUUCUAAUUGUUCGCACUCUAAACGAGAUCGAUUGAGAAAAGCAAAUCGUUUAAAUAGCGACAACAUUCUGGUUUAGACAAUUCUUUAAUGAAGAUAAGAUAGAAUUAUUAAUGCGUUGAUGAAGUGAAUUCAGUUCACCUAAAUUAGGAGUAGAACCUUCUAAAUUUUCGAUGAUGGCUUUCGCAAUUCGAAACUCAUCGAAAGGGUCCGAAACACAAACCCAGAUCCUAACAUUAAAAUUGUUGAUUACAUCUGCAUCGUUGUAAGCCAAUUGAGCAAGAGUUGUCUUUCCGAUACCACCCAUCCCUACGAGAGAGAUGAGUUGGAUGGCAUUUGGUUGUUCAGCAGUUUCACUUAACAACUUGCCCUUCAGAGCAUUUUUCUCCUCAUUUCGACCACACACUUCAGACACAUUAAUUAAGGCAGUACUUUGCGUCCUCUCAGAUUUAUCCUCCUUACUUCUAGUGACACUCAAAUUAAAAGUAUCUUUCUGGCUAGCAAUAUCAUCUAAAGUUUCAUUCAUUUCUUUUAUCUUUUUAGCAAUAUCACAACACAGAAAGAGUUGUUUGAAACCAAAGCAAGAGGCAGCAGGAAAGAAAGAGAUGCAUACCUUCUGCAGGAAAGAAAGAGCAUUAUCAGCAUCAACUCCCUCGAUUUGCAGUUUGAGCCUGGCAGUAUUCCACUCAUCCAAUACAUCUUCAGUGUCGUAGGAUGCGUGUUUGAGCUUGUCUAAAGAAAUUUCAGAAAUAUGUUUUCACUACAACUGUUAGAUGCAUGAAUAAAACAGAGGACGAUACAACAUCAGAUUUGACCACUGAUUGAAUUGCUGUUCAUAUGACUGCAGUUAAAAAAAAAAAAAAACAUCGAUGAAUACCAAAACACAAGUCACUGUCGUUAAUAUUUCUCUUAUUAACGCAGGUGAGAUUACCUUGAUGAAUGGAGGCGGUUGGUGUGUUCACUGGGCUCAAAGUACAUGACUGCUGGAGAUGAUGCUGCUUUUGGAAUGAUAGGUUGGGCUGAGAGUUUCAUGCAAUCAUUGUUUCCCAGGUGGUUGUAGCUAACAGAUAAUUUGGCACCCACCAGCCAAUCAAUUUCAUCACAAUCAGAAACCAUCUUUUUCCAUAAAGUGCUUAUAACGAUCAAAACUAUAUAUAUACCUGAUUCCAGCCCUUACAAGAAAAUAAACCAUAACAGACUUCAUCUUUGUCUUGCCAAUCUUCAAUUCUUCAUCUCUUCUACUGUUGCUCCGAAUGGCGAAAACAAUAAGCGCUGCAAACAAAAACGAAGUUAAACAAAAGAAAGGCACAAUCUUUUGCUUGUCUAAAAAACUUCAACCGAACAACAAAGCAAAGAGCAAGGUUAUCAAAUUUAAGAACCUAAAAUCUCAGCCUCCUUAAUUUUCUCCAAAGAAGCAAGAAGGUUCACCAUUGUACCUUCUCCAUCAUAAGAUCCAACUCUAUUUAAUGAUUCUUUAGUGAGCCAAAAAAUUGGCUUGUUGCACUUUGUCCUUUGUGGCACAGGAGAUUCAUCUGAGAACAAAAAUUAAAUCAAUAAAGUGACUCGCACUUGAUUAAGAUUUAAUCAAAAAAUUUAAUAAGAAACUCUUGAUUGCUAUGAAGCCAACAGUGAGAGUUCACUGUUCCUACGCCACCCCACAGGCAUACUCUAAAAAUAAGCCAAAAAAAAAAAUCCGAAGAAAUUCUGAUUUCCAAAUUGACCGACCAAAGUUAAAAAAUGAAAAGAAUAAGAAUCUACAGAGCCUGCUGUACGGCCAAGGCGGAUGUACGGUACAGCAGUUUUAUUUAGUUUCUAUCCGACAUUUACUGUGAUAGGCAAUGAAAUUGGUGCAAAUAAAUUACGGACCAACAUUGUUUAAUCUCAUUGGACAGAUCGUUAUAACUCAAUAGUACAGCAGGUAAAAUAUCUUUUUCAAAAUCUUCCACCUGCCAAAUUUCACUAUCUAAGAUAUUUUGCCACUCUUCUCUAGUUUUUUUAACCACAACAAACCCCAGAUAGUUUUAGCCGCAAGUGGCAACAUUCUGGUUUAGACAAUUAUUUCUACCAAUUUCUUCUAAUUGUUCGCACUCUAAACGAGAUCGAUUGAGAAAAGCAAAUCGUUUAAAUAGCGACAACAUUCUGGUUUAGACAAUUCUUUAAUGAAGAUAAGAUAGAAUUAUUAAUGCGUUGAUGAAGUGAAUUCAGUUCACCUAAAUUAGGAGUAGAACCUUCUAAAUUUUCGAUGAUGGCUUUCGCAAUUCGAAACUCAUCGAAAGGGUCCGAAACACAAACCCAGAUCCUAACAUUAAAAUUGUUGAUUACAUCUGCAUCGUUGUAAGCCAAUUGAGCAAGAGUUGUCUUUCCGAUACCACCCAUCCCUACGAGAGAGAUGAGUUGGAUGGCAUUUGGUUGUUCAGCAGUUUCACUUAACAACUUGCCCUUCAGAGCAUUUUUCUCCUCAUUUCGACCACACACUUCAGACACAUUAAUUAAGGCAGUACUUUGCGUCCUCUCAGAUUUAUCCUCCUUACUUCUAGUGACACUCAAAUUAAAAGUAUCUUUCUGGCUAGCAAUAUCAUCUAAAGUUUCAUUCAUUUCUUUUAUCUUUUUAGCAAUAUCACAACACAGAAAGAGUUGUUUGAAACCAAAGCAAGAGGCAGCAGGAAAGAAAGAGAUGCAUACCUUCUGCAGGAAAGAAAGAGCAUUAUCAGCAUCAACUCCCUCGAUUUGCAGUUUGAGCCUGGCAGUAUUCCACUCAUCCAAUACAUCUUCAGUGUCGUAGGAUGCGUGUUUGAGCUUGUCUAAAGAAAUUUCAGAAAUAUGUUUUCACUACAACUGUUAGAUGCAUGAAUAAAACAGAGGACGAUACAACAUCAGAUUUGACCACUGAUUGAAUUGCUGUUCAUAUGACUGCAGUUAAAAAAAAAAAAAAACAUCGAUGAAUACCAAAACACAAGUCACUGUCGUUAAUAUUUCUCUUAUUAACGCAGGUGAGAUUACCUUGAUGAAUGGAGGCGGUUGGUGUGUUCACUGGGCUCAAAGUACAUGACUGCUGGAGAUGAUGCUGCUUUUGGAAUGAUAGGUUGGGCUGAGAGUUUCAUGCAAUCAUUGUUUCCCAGGUGGUUGUAGCUAACAGAUAAUUUGGCACCCACCAGCCAAUCAAUUUCAUCACAAUCAGAAACCAUCUUUUUCCAUAAAGUGCUUAUAACGAUCAAAACUAUAUAUAUACCUGAUUCCAGCCCUUACAAGAAAAUAAACCAUAACAGACUUCAUCUUUGUCUUGCCAAUCUUCAAUUCUUCAUCUCUUCUACUGUUGCUCCGAAUGGCGAAAACAAUAAGCGCUGCAAACAAAAACGAAGUUAAACAAAAGAAAGGCACAAUCUUUUGCUUGUCUAAAAAACUUCAACCGAACAACAAAGCAAAGAGCAAGGUUAUCAAAUUUAAGAACCUAAAAUCUCAGCCUCCUUAAUUUUCUCCAAAGAAGCAAGAAGGUUCACCAUUGUACCUUCUCCAUCAUAAGAUCCAACUCUAUUUAAUGAUUCUUUAGUGAGCCAAAAAAUUGGCUUGUUGCACUUUGUCCUUUGUGGCACAGGAGAUUCAUCUGAGAACAAAAAUUAAAUCAAUAAAGUGACUCGCACUUGAUUAAGAUUUAAUCAAAAAAUUUAAUAAGAAACUCUUGAUUGCUAUGAAGCCAACAGUGAGAGUUCACUGUUCCUACGCCACCCCACAGGCAUACUCUAAAAAUAAGCCAAAAAAAAAAAUCCGAAGAAAUUCUGAUUUCCAAAUUGACCGACCAAAGUUAAAAAAUGAAAAGAAUAAGAAUCUACAGAGCCUGCUGUACGGCCAAGGCGGAUGUACGGUACAGCAGUUUUAUUUAGUUUCUAUCCGACAUUUACUGUGAUAGGCAAUGAAAUUGGUGCAAAUAAAUUACGGACCAACAUUGUUUAAUCUCAUUGGACAGAUCGUUAUAACUCAAUAGUACAGCAGGUAAAAUAUCUUUUUCAAAAUCUUCCACCUGCCAAAUUUCACUAUCUAAGAUAUUUUGCCACUCUUCUCUAGUUUUUUUAACCACAACAAACCCCAGAUAGUUUUAGCCGCAAGUGGCAACAUUCUGGUUUAGACAAUUAUUUCUACCAAUUUCUUCUAAUUGUUCGCACUCUAAACGAGAUCGAUUGAGAAAAGCAAAUCGUUUAAAUAGCGACAACAUUCUGGUUUAGACAAUUCUUUAAUGAAGAUAAGAUAGAAUUAUUAAUGCGUUGAUGAAGUGAAUUCAGUUCACCUAAAUUAGGAGUAGAACCUUCUAAAUUUUCGAUGAUGGCUUUCGCAAUUCGAAACUCAUCGAAAGGGUCCGAAACACAAACCCAGAUCCUAACAUUAAAAUUGUUGAUUACAUCUGCAUCGUUGUAAGCCAAUUGAGCAAGAGUUGUCUUUCCGAUACCACCCAUCCCUACGAGAGAGAUGAGUUGGAUGGCAUUUGGUUGUUCAGCAGUCUCACUUAACAACUUGCCCUUCAGAGCAUUUUUCUCCUCAUUUCGACCACACACUUCAGACACAUUAAUUAAGGCAGUACUUUGCGUCCUCUCAGAUUUAUCCUCCUUACUUCUAGUGACACUCAAAUUAAACGUAUCUUUCUGUCGGGAAAUAUUAUCUAAAGUUUCAUUCAUUUCUUUUAUCUUUUUAGCAAUAUCACGACGCAGAAAGAGUUGUUCGAAACCAAAGCAAGAGGCAGCAGGAAAGAAAGAGCUGCAUAACUUCUGCAGGAAAGAAAGAGCAUUAUCAGCAUCAACUCCCUCGUUUUGCAGUUUGCCCCUGGCAGUAUUCCACUCAUCCAACACAUCAUCAAUGUCGUAGGAUGCUUGUUUGAGCUUGUCUAACCAGAGUCUCACGUGUUCCUCCUUCACUUGCCUUCGCUCUGCAUCAGCCAGCACAGCUUGAAUGGCUUCUAAAUUGUCUUGCAGCCUUUUCACUUCUUUUUCGACGCCCGUUACCAGCCUCACCUGUUCUUUUGCCUCUUCAACUGCCGUUGAAUUCAGCUGCUUUAAGACAGCGGACACGAUCGCAUCAACCAUUUUGAAAGUUGGAAGCUUAAAGAUGAGAGAAUGAAAUUUGUGAGUUAUAAUUUCUGGACUUACAUGUAUGCAGGAGAAGACUUAGAUAACAUAUAGGUGAAAAACAAUCGGAGUUGACUCCGAACAAUCGAACUGAUCGCUUGAAUGGGUUCGGUUUGGUUCGGUUUGCUUUCGUUUCAGAUUACGAAAUAAUAAAUUAAAUAAAAAUAAUAGUAAGAUAAAAUUAUUAUGAAAUAAUUAUAGUUAUGUGAAAUGUUCAUUAGAAUAAAUUUUUUAUUUCUCCACUAAAUAAUUUUUUUCUCUUAUAGUUUUUUAUAUUUCUUACAAAUUU